UGGGGAAUAUUGCGCAAUGGGGGGAACCCUGACGCAGCCAUGCCGCGUGAAUGAAGAAGGCCUUCGGGUUGUAAAGUUCUUUCGGUAUUGAGGAAGGUUGAUGUGUUAAUAGCACAUCAAAUUGACGUUAAAUACAGAAGAAGCACCGGCUAACUCCGUGCCAGCAGCCGCGGUAAUACGGAGGGUGCGAGCGUUAAUCGGAAUAACUGGGCGUAAAGGGCACGCAGGCGGUUAUUUAAGUGAGGUGUGAAAGCCCUGGGCUUAACCUAGGAAUUGCAUUUCAGACUGGGUAACUAGAGUACUUUAGGGAGGGGUAGAAUUCUACGUGUAGCGGUGAAAUGCGUAGAGAUGUGGAGGAAUACCGAAGGCGAAGGCAGCCCCUUGGGAAUGUACUGACGCUCAUGUGCGAAAGCGUGGGGAGCAAACAGGAUUAGAUACCCUGGUAGUCCACGCUGUAAACGCUGUCGAUUUGGGGGUUGGGGUUUAACUCUGGCGCCCGUAGCUAACGUGAUAAAUCGACCGCCUGGGGAGUACGGCCGCAAGGUUA
rnacentral:rRNA from 1 species